AUACGGAGGGUGCAAUCGUUACUCGGAAUCACUGGGCGUAAAGCGCGCGCAGGCGGCUAUUUAAGUUGGAUGUGAAAGCCUACGGCUCAACCGUAGAACUGCAUCCAAAACUAUUUAGCUAGAGUGUGGGAGAGGAAGAUGGAAUUAGUUGUGUAGGGGUAAAAUCCGUAGAGAUAACUAGGAAUACCAAAAGCGAAGGCAAUCUUCUGGAACACUACUGACGCUGAGGCGCGAAAGCGUGGGGAGCAAACAGGAUUAGAAACCCUUGUAGUCC
rnacentral:rRNA from 1 species